UACAGAGGGGCAAGCGUUAUUCGGAAUUAUUGGGCGUAAAGGGCGCGUAGGCGGGCAUGGCAAGUGGAUGGUGAAAUCCCUCGGCUUAACCGAGGAACUGCCGUCCAAACUGCUUCGCUUGAGACCGGGAGAGGUGAGUGGAAUUCCCAGUGUAGCGGUGAAAUGCGUAGAUAUUGGGAGGAACACCAGUGGCGAAGGCGGCUCACUGGACCGGUACUGACGCUGAUGCGCGA
rnacentral:rRNA from 1 species